rnacentral:rRNA from 1 species
AGUGAACGCUGGCGGUAGGCCUAACACAUGCAAGUCGAACGGCAGCACAGUAAGAGCUUGCUCUUACGGGUGGCGAGUGGCGGACGGGUGAGGAAUACAUCGGAAUCUACUUUUUCGUGGGGGAUAACGUAGGGAAACUUACGCUAAUACCGCAUACGACCUACGGGUGAAAGCAGGGGAUCUUCGGACCUUGCGCGAUUGAAUGAGCCGAUGUCGGAUUAGCUAGUUGGCGGGGUAAAGGCCCACCAAGGCGACGAUCCGAAGCUGGUCUGAGAGGAUGAUCAGCCACACUGGAACUGAGACACGGUCCAGACUCCUACGGGAGGCAGCAGUGGGGAAUAUUGGACAGUGGGCGCAAGCCUGAUCCAGCCAUACCGCGUGGGUGAAGAAGGCCUUCGGGUUGUAAAGCCCUUUUGUUGGGAAAGAAAAGCAGCAGGUUAAUACCCCGCUGUUCUGACGGUACCCAAGGAAUAAGCACCGGCUAACUUCGUG